rnacentral:misc_RNA from 1 species
UCUGCCUUAUCGGCGAGCGGUCCUAUUAGAGUGCCCAACUUAAUGCUGGCAACUAAUAGCAAGGGUUGCGCUCGUUGCGGGACUUAACCCAACAUCUCACGACACGAGCUGACGACAGCCAUGCAGCACCUGUCUCCGCGUCCCCGAAGGGAACGCCUACUUUCAUAGGAUAGCACGGGAUGUCAAGCCCAGGUAAGGUUCUUCGCGUUGCGUCGAAUUGAACCACAUACUCCACCGCUUGUGCGGGCCCCCGUCAAUUUCUUUGAGUUUUAGUCUUGCGACCGUAAUCCCCAGGCGGGAUAUUUAACGCGUUAGCUACGACACCGAGGGGGUAAGUCCCCCGAUAUCUAAUAUCCAUAGUUUACAGCGUGGACUAC